UCGCCGAUACAGAAGAUGUAGCGUUUAAAAAACCAGUGAAAAUAUGAUCUUUAGAUUUGUAUAGAUUUUACAAUCCCUCUCUAAGAAGUCCAAAUUUUUUUAUUCAGUUUUUUACUUAAAUUCAGAUUGCAAGGAAUUUUCUAAAACCGCACCUGUAUACAUCUACAAAGUAUUGCGCACAUUUCAAUGUGUUACAAGAUUCCUGUUUAUUUGAGACGCAAAAACAGAAUUUGUAAGAAGUUUUGACAAAAGUACAGUUCUAAUGCGUUGAUGAACUUUCUAGAAUAAAUGUUGAAAAUCAAUUUGAUUGGUUUGUUUGAAUUUGGUACAAAGAUCGAAGCUCGUAAUUGGCUCUGAAGAACGGAAGCCGGAAAUUGCGUAGUGACAGGAUCAAGGAAUUUUGGCAGGAGACGGAGAAGAAAGCAGGCAUUCUUACAAUGGUAGUGAAUCAGUAAACAUCGAUAGUGAGUUACCGGCUUUUUUGUGACGCAAAAAGAAUUUCCAAGUAAAUGGGAUCUAUCAAAGUUCUUCUGUGUUGUUGUUAAGUAGGUGUACCAUCAGUUUGAUGGUGUAGCAGUUCCUUUUUGAUGGUAAAAGUGUAAUAUACGCUUUGUAAAAAUACUGCGUAUGUAUUUAUGAAAGCCGGCAUAGUACUAAUAUCGUAGUGAUGAAUUAAACCCAAGCCUCCCGUCUCCUGGAUUAGAAAACCUAUUUCCCGAGGUAAAUAAGCAAAUUUCUUUUGUUUUAUGGUAUUUUCAUGGUAUAAUGGUAUAUGGUGCAAUCAGUAAUUUUCCAUUGACAUUUUCCCCUUCGAGUGACGUAUGAACUACGUACGUGCUGUCAAGUGUCAUGUCAAGUUUCACAAUGGUGAAGUUUUGAAUUUUAAGGUAUAGUGACUUUUAAUAAUUAUAAAAUUCUCAAACUAAUAACGUUAAUUUCUUUCAACAUAAAAAAAAAUAAAUCUUUUUGGAACUUAAAAUACAAAAAUGAAAAAGUAAAUUGUUGAACAGAACAAAGAAUAAUUUUGCUUCCAUCAUUAAAAUAUUAUUGUAAAGACAUAAUUGUAAGUUAAUGUUAAAAUCCUUUUUGAAACCUUUUGAAAUAGUUAAAAAUAAAAGAUUUACGGAAUGAUAUUUGACAGGUGACAUAGUUGUUAUUUUCAAUAAUUAAGUACUACGAGGAGUAGUCAGGAAUUCUUUAAUGUAAACAUUGUUCCCUGAAUGAAUAUAAAUUUUUGUUUUAAUGCAAAUGCUAUAAUAUAUGUCAUAAUUAGGUCAGUCACUCAGUUAUACAAGUCAUAAUUAAGUCAGAUAUCAAAUCCUCAAUGCAAUAAUAUUAUUGUUUAUCUGUUGGUGCACCAUAACCUAUGUUCAGAAAAGUAGAUGUAAUUUUUUUUUUACAGGUAAUCUUUUAUGUAAUCUGAAAGUUAUGUUAUCUCAAGGAAUAAUUUUUCAAUAAAUGCCAUAACUGUGUAUUUUGUCCUGUUUAUUUACCGCUAACCUAUUGGCAAAAUUUUAACCACAAACUUUAAAAGCUUUUAGAGUCAAAUUUUAAGAUGUUGGAUGAUCAUAGAAAGUAAAACUCCUGGCAAGGCGCCCUAACAAAAUAUAGCCAGGAUUUAUAUUUAACACCCCAGGAUAUCUCUUUUUAGAGUCAAAUUUUAAGAUGUUGGAUGAUCAUAGAAAGUAAAACUCCUGGUAAGGCGCCCUAACAAAAUAUAGCCAGGAUUUAUAUUUAACACCCCAGGAUAUCUGUAAGUACCCUUGUUUAAAUUUUUGAUAGUAGUAAAUAUUCCCUAAUCCCUAACUUCUUCUUAACGAACUCACAACCUUAGCUCUCCAACCAAAACACGAGCCGCCGUAGCAAAGUAGUUUUUAGAAAUAUCCCCUAGUUUUCUCGACCCUUUUGUAUUUAAGCAGUAUCUAAAUUUU
rnacentral:lncRNA from 1 species